rnacentral:tRNA from 1 species
AGCUCAGUUGGAUAGAGCAACGAAACGUCUUUAACAUUUUGUUUAUGCGAAGCAGUAAAAGAAUCAAAUGCUUCAAGGACUACAUCUUAAAAUUGACGUCAUCGGUGGUUCGAAUCCACCC